rnacentral:rRNA from 1 species
UACGUAGGGGGCAAGCGUUGUCCGGAUUUAUUGGGCGUAAAGAGCGUGUAGGCGGCUAGAUAGGUCCGUUGUGAAAACUCGAGGCUCAACCUCGAGACGUCGAUGGAAACCAUCUGGCUAGAGUCCGGAAGAGGAGAGUGGAAUUCCUGGUGUAGCGGUGGAAUGCGCAGAUAUCAGGAGGAACACCGGUGGCGAAGGCGGGUCUCUGGACAGUUCCUGACGCUGAGGCACGAAGGUCAGGGGAGCAAACGGG